CUGUGGUUCUAAUUCUACAAUCUUACUGUUCCAGAGGGCAGACAACGGUGCUGUAUCGCCAAUAUUUGUCUUCUUGAAUUUGGACAGUUAUCUACAAUCACAGAAAACCUGGUGUGACUGAUAUCUUGAAUUUUGAGAUGCUGUGGCCUGUGGGAAUUGUUUCAAUAAAGAAAAAAAGAGAUGCUGUGGGAAUUGUUGGCUGUUUGCCAUUGCGGGAUGAAAUAGAAGAAUUUAUGUUCAAAAAAAGGGGUACAAAUGGCUGGGAGGAGAAGGCUUACAGGUUUAUGUUCAAGCUUCAAACUGGCUGUUUUGUGGAUGACAUCAUGUGUAUCAGUAAUCAGUGUAUGGUGUUGGCAAGUUCACAAAAGAAUUGCUCUCACAAAUCUACAACAUAUGAUUUGAACAUUGAAGUAUUCUCAGUAGGAUUCCAUCUAUUCCAAUUUUUACCCAAAAUACCCUCAAAAAAAUGAUAAUUACCAAGUUCCCUAUUCAGGUAAAAUUAAUAUCUCUAGUUACAUGUACCCUUUCAUAUGUAAUUAAAAAAGAUCAGUUGAUUUAAAAAAAUUGGUUCAAAAUGCAGGACUAAAUCAACCGGGGAAGAACCGAAGAAGUCAAGAAGGUCUUCACUGAGUUCACUCUUCCGGCUUCCGGGGAGAAGGGGGCCUUAGGAUUUAGGAGUUAGGGCUUACCGGCUUAGUGGUCCUGUGGUUGUGGUCCGGUCGACCGGGAGCCCGGAGGUGGCCGCCGUCAAGGUCCAGAAUUAAAACGGCAGAACCAGAACGAACUGAAGGUGAAGGUCUUCACUCUUCCGCGGGUGGGACGGCAGGUUCUUGCCUUCUUAGAGCCGGAGACAAGCGACAAGAUCGACUCUGAUCGAGAGGAGGAAUGGAGGAUUGAUUAGAGCGGAGAAGCCGAGGAGAGGAGGACUUGAUCUGUUGAAUCGUUGAUCAAUCGGCUUCUCUCCGAAGGGGCGAAGGGUGGAUUCGAUCGCCGCCGCUGCGGCCGCUCGGGACGUAGCGGGGCCUUCUUUGGGCAGCGACGUAGAACGGCGCGGCGGCAGCGGGGGCCUUCUUUGGGGCCGGGGGCCGCACGGAU
rnacentral:lncRNA from 1 species